UAGCGCAUACGUGAUUCGGUUUUCCGCACUUGUCAUAUCCGGCACGUAAGUGUAAAUGCAUUGGAGUGGCAUNCGGCAUAUAUGGCUUCGUCUGCGUCAGGAACGCCUGGCCCAUGGCCUCACACAAAAGGAAAUGCCGAAUCUUCUUUUCGGCCUAGUAUAGAAAUGCCUUCGCCUGUCAAGGAGAGGUCUCAGUGGUAUCCUUGUUGUCGCCCGCUCCUGCUUCACUGUAGGCUUCUUCUCAAGCACGCACGCUGGGCCCUAUGCCCAACGGUGUCGCGAUAUAGUUGACAAUAAUCAGUCAGCUCUCGAGUGGUAAAUCUGUGUACUGAGAGUUCCGGACUGGAUGCUAAGUGUGACCGAUAUCAAAAGCCGUUAUGCAUCAAAAGAUGGAAAGAUGCAAAUUACAACGAAAACCUGUUGUACUUUUAGUACUUCACUAAAGGGCCGUCCCUAGUAGGCCACUAAAAAUCAUUAUGAUAAAAGGCCAUGGUUUCCAUGGACCUUAUUUUUACUUUUAGGGGAACGAGGCACUUAAAGGUGGCACCAAAAGCCAAGGGAAACAGGCCCAAAGCCUUUCAGAUGUUCACGUGGUACAUACUGUCAGAUCCUGUCCUCUAGGUGAUGUCUUUCAAAGCUUUUUGAUUGAGCCUCCGAGCUUAGCUGUAAUACAGCAAAGUCGUAACCCGGGUUGCUCAAAUGGACCUGGCGUCACCACAUAAGCAGUGUCAAAUCCUCACGCUACGCGUAUGUAGGCUUGCCCACCUAAAGAAUUGUCUAACUGUGUAGUGGGUGUGGUCGGGGGUGCUGCAGCCUAUGUUGGCCUAUGUUGGCUGAUGAUACAUGGUACGCGCACAGUGAGUUGAAUGAGAUGCGAUUACCGAU
rnacentral:lncRNA from 1 species